UAUGUGAUCGUCUCUCGCAUAUCAAUAAGCGGAGGAAAAGAAACUAACAAGGAUUCCCCUAGUAACGGCGAGCUGAAGCGGGAAGAGCUCAAAUUUGAAAUCUUAAAGGGUUUCCCUUUACGAAUUGUAGUUUAAAGAAGUGUUUUCUGUUGAGGUUUUGGUAAAAGUUCUUUGGAAUAGGACAUCAUAGAGGGUGAGAAUCCCAGUAUUUGACCUUUACUUUCAACUUUGUGAUACACUUUCAAAGAGUCGGAUUGUUUGGGAAUGCAGUCCAAAAUGGGUGGUAAAUUUCAUCUAAAGCUAAAUAUUGGCGAGAGACCGAUAGCGAACAAGUACCGUGAGGGAAAGAUGAAAAGAACUUUGAAAAGAGAGUUAAACAGUACGUGAAAUUGUCUAAAGGGAAGCGUUUGACACCAGUGUUGUUUUUCUGAAAAUCAAUUAAAGAACUGUUUAUGCUAAGCUGUUUAGACUUUAUCAGCUAUCUGUUUAGUUUUGAGCUUUUCUUUAAUGCACUUUUCAGUUAACAAGUCAACAUCAAUUUCUUUUGCUGUAAAAAAGCUUGAGGAAGGUGGCUUGAGAUUCGUCUUAAGUGUUUAUAGCCUCUUGCCUAUGCAGUCGGAGAGAUUGAGGUCUGCAGCGUAGAUCCUUCGGGGCUAAAUGCAUUUGUGCUAAGUUAUAGCAUUUUAUAGUCAACUUGUUGACUAUGAUUUGUCUUGUAGCUUACCCGCUUAUGUUAUUUUACCUACGCUUAGGAUGUUGAUCUACAGAGCGAGAGU
rnacentral:rRNA from 1 species